UACGUAGGCAGCAAGCGUUGUUCGGAGUUACUGGGCGUAAAGGGUGUGUAGGCGGUUGUUUAAGUUUGGGGUGAAAUCUCCCGGCUCAACUGGGAGGGUGCGCCGAAUACUGAAUGACUUCGAGUGCGGGAGAGGAAAGUGGAAUUCCUGGUGUAGCGGUGAAAUGCGUAGAUAUCAGGAGGAACACCGGUGGUGUAGACGGCUUUCUGGACCGUAACUGACGCUGAGACACGAAAGCGUGGGUAGCAAACAGG
rnacentral:rRNA from 1 species